CCCUUAGAUGUUCUGGGCCGCACGCGCGCUACACUGAUGCAUUCAACGAGUCUAAAACCUGCUCUGAUAGGGGUGGGUAAUCUUUUGAAUGUGCAUCGUGAUUGGGAUAGAUGAUUGCAAUUUUUCAUCUUCAACGAGGAAUGCCUUGUAAACGCAAGUCAUCAGCUUGCAUUGAUUACGUCCCUGCCCUUUGUACACACCGCCCGUCGCUCCUACCGAUUGAAUGAUCCGAUGAAUAUCAUGGAUUGAGGAUUAUAGCAGGUUCGCCUGUCUUGAUCUUCGAGAAGUGAAGUAAAUCUUAUCAUUUAGAGGAAGGAGAAGUCGUAACA
rnacentral:rRNA from 1 species